rnacentral:rRNA from 1 species
UGCCAGCCGCCGCGGUAAUACGGAGGGUCCAAGCGUUAUCCGGAAUCAUUGGGUUUAAAGGGUUCGCAGGCGGCUCAAUAAGUCAGUGGUGAAAUCCUACAGCUUAACUGUAGAACUGCCAUUGAAACUGUUGAGCUUGAAUAUAGUUGAAGUAGGCGGAAUGUGUAGUGUAGCGGUGAAAUGCUUAGAUAUUACACAGAACACCGAUAGCGAAGGCAGCUUACUAAACUAUUAUUGACGCUCAUGAACGAAAGCGUGGGGAGCGAACAGGAUUAGAUA